GGUGAACGCUAGCGGCAGGCUUAACACAUGCAAGUCGAGGGGCAGCACGGGUAGCAAUACCUGGUGGCGACCGGCGCAAGGGUGCGUAACGCGUGAGCAACAUGCCCUAUACAGGGGGAUAAUCCAGGGAAACUUGGUCUAAUAUCCCAUAGUAUUUAGAGGAGGCAUCUUCUAUAAAUUAAAGCUUCGGUGGUAUAGGAUUGGCUCGCGUGACAUUAGCUAGAUGGUGAGGUAACGGCUCACCAUGGCAAUGAUGUCUAGGGGUUCUGAGAGGAAGGCCCCCCACACUGGGACUGAGACACGGCCCAGACUCCUACGGGAGGCAGCAGUGAGGAAUAUUGGACAAUGGAUGGAAAUCUGAUCCAGCCAUGCCGCGUGCAGGAAGACAGCCCUAUGGGUUGUAAACUGCUUUUAUAUGGGAGCAAUAAGGUCUACGUGUAGACUGAUGAGAGUACCAUAUGAAUAAGC
rnacentral:rRNA from 1 species